rnacentral:rRNA from 1 species
GACAGAGGCCUCGAGCGUUAGGCGGAAUCACUGGGCUUAAAGCGUGUGUAGGCGGAUCGUUAAGUGUCUUGUGAAAUCCCACGGCUCACCCGUGGAACUGCUGGGCAUACUGGCGAUCUUGGGCCAACUAGGGGCAGCCGGAACAAGCGGUGGAGCGGUGAAAUGCGUAGAUAUCGCUUGGAACGCCGAAGGUGAAAACAGGCUGCUGGGGUUGCGCCGACGCUGAGACACGAAAGCCAGGGGAGCAAACGGG